GACGAACGCUGGCGGCGUGCUUAACACAUGCAAGUCGAACGGUAAGGCCCUUCGGGGUACACGAGUGGCGAACGGGUGAGUAACACGUGGGUGAUCUGCCCUGCACUUCGGGAUAAGCCUGGGAAACUGGGUCUAAUACCGGAUAGGACCCUGGGAUGCAUGUCCUGGGGUGGAAAGAUUUUGCGGUGUGGGAUGGGCCCGCGGCCUAUCAGCUUGUUGGGGGGGUGAUGGCCUACCAAGGCGACGACGGGUAGCCGGCCUGAGAGGGUGACCGGCCACACUGGGACUGAGAUACGGCCCAGACUCCUACGGGAGGCAGCAGUGGGGAAUAUUGCACAAUGGGCGCAAGCCUGAUGCAGCGACGCCGCGUGAGGGAUGACGGCCUUCGGGUUGUAAACCUCUUUCAGCACCGACGAAGCGCAAGUGACGGUAGGUGCAGAAGAAGGACCGGCCAACUACGUGCCAGCCGCCGCGGUAA
rnacentral:rRNA from 1 species